rnacentral:sRNA from 1 species
AAGGUAUCCUGCAAUCGUCCAAGUUUGAUAUAGCCUUGACUGCUUCCCAAUAAACCUUCCUGUCCUUGUGUCAUAAUAUUCUGGCCACUUGUCCUCUGAGAGUCUCUUUUCUGCGACUUCAAUGGCUCGCUGUGCUAAGUCACGCCUACCCAUCUUGAUACAGGCUAGAAUUUUUACCUGCCAUAGCAAUGUAGGCCAAGAUCCACCAUUAUGAUACGACCAGGGCGUGUUUUUAGGGUCACUGCCAGUGAUGAUACGCCAUUCCUCAUACUCUAGAGCAGGGUAGCAUAUCUUGAGUGGCAUAUUUGCAAUUAUAUCCUCCCAUUUGGCUUCAAUGAGGUUCAGGAUACCCUCUGCUUGCCUUUGAGUAGCUAGAGAAGAGAUAAUUGCCCAGAGAUUUCCAAGAGAAAAAAACCUGAAAUCCAUGUGAGCCGGUUGUAGAUUUCCUAUAAGGUAACCACCCUUUUCAGGAAUCCAAUCUGCAAGCCAAGAAGGUAUUUGUUCUGGAUAGAUAUUGAACUUAUUAAUAGCAUCAUGGGAGUACUCUUCAGUUUUGUAGCGAUAAAUUUCAUUUAUCUUCUUCAUAUCAACCCAAUAGUACUCUCUUAUGUGAAACGACAAAGCACUGAGCCUGUAGUUGAUGGCACGGAUCAAACUGUUAGAUCCGUCAUUUACACUGACCAUUUCACGGGCACAACGCAAAGCAGAAUAGAAUAGCGACUGGAUCUCAAGAGGAUGCCCAUGGAUUCCCAUCCGUCGAUCGAUCAUACAUGAUCCAUCAGUGACUAACAAUGUUGGGAACAUGUCAAAUCCAUCAGACAAGCAUAAAUUCAGGAUUAGUCUGAUGCCUGUCUGCACAUCAACCCUUUCUUGUAGUGCAUAGUCUCCAGUAAUUUUACCAUAUGCCCGCAACAGGAUUAUCCACCAAAGACCCGAAUCAACUGGUGCUACACGUCCAAUGGCUGACUCUCCAAAGUCAGGGUCAAGAACCUCCUCAAAUGCUUCACUGUUUCCAUCUAGAGGUAUGGAUCUAACUUUGAAACUAGCAGGCAUCAAUCCCUGACCAGGACUGUAGCAAUCAACUGUCUUCUCCCAGCUCUGAUAGUUGCAAAGUGUGGAGCAGGAAGUUCUUCACGAUGUCCCCCUCGCCCUUGAGGAGGAACGCGAUGGCCGACGGGACAAAGUCUCUAAUGAACACCUGAUCGUAAUUGAGCAUCUGGUUCGCGGUGGAUGGGUCGUUCGCCGCCACCGUCCCCACGGCGGUGCCGCAGUAGCUCACGACCGAGCGGCCGAGCAGACUCCACGCCUCCUUCUCCUCCGUCGACUC